ensembl:lncRNA
UUUCAUAUUUAAAUGUUGAUCUCAUCCAUCAAAGAUGAUUAUGCUUCAACUUUUUCUGUGUAUGGAUUUUGUGGAUAAGCACUAAUGUACAGAAUAAUACAAGUUAAUUUAAAGUAUAUUAUUGUUUAUUUUAUUUGAAUUAUUAUUAUUAUUUAUUUAUUCUUUUGCCAACCCCCAUAAUCCCAUGCCCAAACAUAAUGCAACGCGGUGACAUCGCGCUAUUGCGCCAUUUUGCGAUUACUUGGCGGUCUUUUUUGAAUCGGCAUCAAUUUAUCAGGCGGCCUGCAGUGCACUUACAGCUCGAACUGUGGUGAGUAUAUCUGGAAAUUAUAUCAUGUAAUGUAAGUGUUUAUGCCCCCCUAUAUAAUGAUAUUACUUGUAAUACGUAUCAAAUACAUCGAAGUGUUUUAGCUGUAAGACGAUGGGUAGAGAUAAUUAAUUAGAAAAUGGAAACGUUAACUGUUAUAUCCCUGAAAUAACGCCUGAGUCACUAAAGCCAUCUAGCGCUGAAAAACAGUUCAAAUAAAGUUUAAACUUAAGACGUAUGUUUUUAAUUAUUAUAUUAUUAUUGUUUCGGAUAAUUUAACGUUAAGCUUUUCAUCAUGAAAUUCCAUCGAUUCGAUGCUUUUUUUUUCCUUCAAUUGUGUCAUGCGAAUUAGUUAUGCAGAUGUUUAUAGUAACUUAAUAUUUUGCUGUACAAGUUGUUUAAUUAAUUUGGGAGUAAUUAGGCUAUCUCCUUUAGCUGUCAGAUUUCUACACAGGAUGUAAAGAGGCUCCUUUUUUUUAUUAAUUUAAGCAAAAACAGCCUUUUCUACUACAAGCUCUAGUUUUAUAUUUGGGGUUCAAGUUUAUCACUGAGGUCUAUUAUAGUAUUUAAUAUUGUGUGAUUUCAGGUGUUGUGGAGCUAUACUAUAUGAGGUUAUAACAUUUGUUUUGUUUUUGCUUUUAUCUCCUUGCCAUGGUCUGAAGAAGCCAUAUUAUUGUAAGGUUGAUGACAAAUGAGGUCAUGGCCUGUUUCAGUAUGAAGUGGGGAAGGGGAAGCUUGCCUUCACCAAGAUCAAUCUGUACACUGUUGUCACAGAGAGUGUCCAGAAAACAUCAAAAGAGACGGGGCAAAUAUUGCAGCGGCCACCGCCUUUUGUUUAAAAUAUGCCCCAGCAGAGCCGUCGCAAGGAGGGUGAGAGGCCCUGUGCAAAGUUGACAUGCGAGGCCCUCUACAAUUUUGCGUGUGUGUGUGUGUGUGUGUGUGUGUGUGGUGGGGGAGGUUGCUGUAGUAAGGCAAGGCAAGUUUAUUUAUAUAGCAGAUUUCGUACACAAUGGUAAUUCAAAGUGCUUUACAUAAAAAAAAAGUAAAAUAAUCAUGAAGAACAAAACUAAAACAAGCAAUUUUAAAACUUUGGAAAUGAUUUAAAAAUUGACUUGAAUUUAAAACAGUUAGAAAUAGAAAAUGAUUUUACAUAAAAUACAGUGAAUACGUAAAAUACAGUGCAAUCAGGUCGGACAUCGCACAGUGCUCAUUAAAUAAAUGCACAGCUAAACAGAUGAGUUUUGAGUCUAGAUUUAAAUGUGACUAGUGUUUUAGCACAUCUGAUCUCUUCUGGAAGCUGAUUCUGGAAGCAAUGUAUUUUGGUCCUAGGUCACUGAGUGACUUCUAGACGAGUAAAAGUACUUUAAAAUCAAUCCUAAAUGUAACUGGAAGCCAGUGUAAGGACCUGAGGACUGAUGUGAUGUGCUCAGAUGUUCUGGUUCUAGUCAGAAUCCUGGCAGCAGCGUUCUGGAUGAGCUGCAUCAUUUUUGAAAAAAGAUGUGGGAAGUGUGUCAAGAUAGCAAGUUGACGAUUUUUAGUUGCUGCACUAUGUCUUCCAAAAA